GGGCAUGUAGCGGAGGACAUAUCAUAAGCGGAGGAGCAUAUCAAUAAGCGGAGGAGCAUAUCAAUAAGCGGAGGAGCAUAUCAAUAAGCGGAGGAGCAUAUCAAUAAGCGGAGGAACAUAUCAAUAAGCGGAGGAACAUAUCAAUAAGCGGAGGAACAUAUCAAUAAGCGGAAGAACCUAUCAGUAAACGGGAGGAGCAUAUCAUAAAACGCAGGAACUCAUCAAUUCUUUGAACACCCCUUGCGCCCUCUGGUAUUCCUGAGGGCAUGCCUGUUUGAGUGUCAUGUACACUCAAUCCCUCGGGUUUCCGAGGAAAUUGGACUUGGGUGUUGCCGCUCUGCCGGCUCGCCUUAAAAGACUUAACGGGAUAGCACCGUAGUCGGCGUAAUAAGUUUCGUCGGUGAAGGUUGUGAUGACUGCUUACAAUCGCCCUCGGGCAAUUUUUGACUCUGACCUCAAAUCAGGUAGGACUACCCGCUGAACUUAAGCAU
rnacentral:rRNA from 1 species